AAAACCUUAGUUCUGUUUCAUGAUGACUGACCUCAUAUUUUUAAAAAUUUUAUUUAUUUUUAUUUACCAACCUUAGGCCAAAUACUGAGAAAAAAAACUUGGUUAGCGUCACCGCCCGCCUCUCGAUUUCUCAUGUGCCGCCUCUGAAUAUUUUCUAUGUUAAUCUCUUCGUUUUACAGCUUAAAACAGUUUAAUAUUUGAAAUUUUCCUCAUGCUCACACCUGGGCCUGGGUACAAGGUUCUUGUAUCAAAAUGGCGGCCUUCGCAACAUCAAUGGUGGAAAAACGGAAGAGAUUAUUUCGCUGGCCUCAGAGUGCCAAAACGUAACAAAGCGACGGUUUUACUAACACUAACACAACUCCAAACACCAACUCUAACCUUAAUCCUAACCCUAACCUAACCCUACUCCAAAUUGGUUUCUAAACCAAUCUUGAAGAAAAAAGUUUUGACGAAAUGUCAUUCUGAGGUCAGUGAAAUAGUUGAUGCCUGGAAAAACCGCCCCCCUUCCCCCCCCCAAAAAAAUACUAUUAAAAAAUUUUAAAAACGAGUAAAAAUUAAACAAAAACAACGCCCGUCCGCCUCUGAAAAUUUGUGAGAGUGUGACGCCAACCAAGUAUUUUUUUAUUUGGCCUUAUCAGGUAAGACCCACAGCUGAGCCCUCGCUCCAUUAUCAGUGGACAACCAAACCUAGCUAAUUGAUACAAAUGGUACACUUGAUGACAGACCAGCCAAGAAUGAUUUAUUAUACGAUAAUAAAUUACUAUUUUAACAGAAACACCAGGCAAAAAAAGGAUGAGAAUGACAUUUUACACAGAUAGUUUUGAACGUUUGCGGAAUAUCAAUGGUAUAGGUUUCCUGACUCAUCUAACUAUAAUAUCAGUGAA